UAGUAUGCAGUUAGUAAAUAUCUGAUUACUAAAAUCGUUAUAGAUGUGACAAUCCUAAUAGAAAUAUUAGUAAGUAAACCAUUGUACGCUUAAAUGGAUAGGCGUGUCUGUCACAUACUCGUACCUACAUCAUAUGUGAGGCUAACGCAAUAAAAAGUUAUCAGUUUUGUCCGUAACGUAUCAAAGACUGCACUGCCCCGUCCUCAUAUACAUUUUAUUCAAUAAUAAAUGUUAGUGGAUGAAAAGGAUGGCGAAAUCAAAGGAGAUGAAAUCUAAAGUGAAAAUGGAAGGUGAAUUCAUCCCCCCGGACGGAGGCUGGGGGUGGAUGAUUAUUAUUGCCGCUGGAUUUUCUAACCUGUCAGCUCUGCCGAUGCUGCAGCAGUUCGGGCUGCUGUUCCGCGACAGGUUCUCCAGCCUCGGCAUCACCAGCUCAGAGACCACCACCAUCAUAAACAUGAACUCCGCGCUGACCUCUUGCGUCGGUUUAGCCAACGGGCCAGUGUUUAAAACAUUCACGUACCGCCAAGUGUCGCUGACUGGAGCGUGCGUGGUCUUUAUUUCAUUAAUUCUAUGCACAUUUUCGUACAAUUUCGUCACCUACCUCGUAUCAUUUUCAAUACUUUAUGGUGCUGGAUACGGCAUAAGCAGCUCUGCUAAUGCACUUGCUUUAAACACUUACUGGAAGAAUAGAAGGCGUCUAGCAACCGGCCUCUCAUGGACUAUUACGGGUCUUGGCCCCAUGUUAUGGCCACACAUUAUCACCGGUCUGAUCUAUCUCUUUGGUGAACAUGGAUGCAUUCUUCUUAUAAGUGGGUUUUCCUUACAUGCCAUCGCUUGCGCGUUACUACUUCAGCCAGUGGAAAGGCACUGUAAGUCUACUAAUCGAGAAAAUGGCGACGAAGAAAAACUAUUGGGCUCUGAACAAUCUGACAAAAGGGAUAAAGAAAGUGGUUAUUUCAGCAAUAUGUCAAAAUUUAAGAAUUUUAGUGCAUUUUCCAGUCAGUAUAUUUAUAAUGAGGAUGAUCCAGUUAAUCCAGGAUAUGAAAUCACAGACCCAGGAGUGCCCAUGAUGUUGCGUGCCAACGAUGGAUAUUUCAGUCAAUCGCGACAAUCAAGAAGCAGGCUGUCGUCAAGGGAUGCCUCAGCUAAAACAUCCCGCAUGAAUUCAAAAAAACCUUCAAUGUCAAAUCUAACUGAAAAUCGAUCUCGCAAAUCUUCAACGUUGUACCUCAAUGAAUCUAAAAAAAACUCCGCAGCAAAUCUGGGCACACUAGCCAACGAGCGAGAAAAUUAUAAACCCAAGUUAUACCUUAAUGAAUCUAAAAAAAACUCUGCUGUGAAUUUAGGAGCCAUGACUCAAGAAAGAGACAAUUAUAAACCAAAAAGAAAAACUUCGAUAACUCAAACACAGAUUCCAGAAUCGGAAAUAGAAGACUGUCCGACACUGAAAGCUCCUCAAGAUCUUAAAGCUGAUGAAAAGGCAGCUGUUGAAAAUAUAGACCCAGAGAAAGCUAAAGUUAUUGCAGAUAAGGCUGAAAAACAUUUAGCUGGCAGUAAAAGUCUAAAAUCAUUCAAAAUGGAGGGUCAGUAUGGCGAGUCAUAUAAUAAAAAUAAUCAUAGCAACAUAUCGCUUAAAAAUCAAGACGAUGUUGAUGAACGAAAAUAUCUGAGAGAUAAUGCCAGCAAUCAAUCGUACCGUACUAGAUAUAGACGGAAAUCGAAUAAUUUCAAUUACGAAAGUGAAGUAUUAAAACAAGCUUCUUUGAAAUUAGAACAAUAUUUAAAAGAAAACGAAGAACCCGAUAAGUUCAAGUUGUUAAUUAAUGGCCAGUUGGAGGAUGAUGUAUUUGAAGAUAAUACAGAAAACAAGGGUGUUGAAGAUGAUGAAGAAGUACAGCUUACAUUUUGUGAAAAAGUGGCAAUAUUCUUCGAUUUAGAUUUACUGAGAGACUUCACUUUCAUUAACUUGAUGCUCGGAAUCACGUUAGCUAACUUUAAUGAACUCAAUUUCUCUAUACUAACGCCAUUUAUACUAGGUGAUUACGGUAUGAGUAAAUCAGAAGUGGCUUUUUUUAUGUCGUUGCUAGCGGGAGUGGACAUAUGCGUCAGAUUCUGCAUCCCCUUCGUAGCUGGCAAAAUAGGAUGGGACAACAAUUCGUUCUUCCUCUUUGGUGUCUUAUCGAUGGCAAUGGGUAGAGUGGUUCUAGCCUACUACCAGACGUACUCCAUAGUGCUCCUGGUCGCGGUCAUGAUCGGCUUCGGCAAGGGCCUGCGGACGGUGUUCAUGGCGCUGGUGAUCCCCACCCACGUGCCGCUGCACAAGCUGCCCGGGGCCACCGGCAUCCAACUGCUCACGGCCGGCAUCGUGUACUUGGUGUUGGGGCCUGUAGUUGGAUCACAAAUAAAUAGGAACAAAGAAAUACAGAACAUGAAUAGAUGCUUAGCCACUUAUAGAUGACCACAGCUCACAUGUGUGUACAGUCGCCAUCAGAUAUCGUAGCGGGCAAGGUACUCAAAUAUUUCGGAGCAGCAUUACUUUUCAAUAAAAUCGACAUACUAGAUAUAGUCAAUAACAUCAGAACAUGCAAUUUGUCAUAAAUAUAAGAGCAGCGACUUUUCAAUAGAUUCGGAACACAUAACGAGGCAGAAAUAUUAGAAAGCACAGAACGUUAAAGGUUGGAUAAAAGACAACGCCUCGACAGCUAUCACAUUGCAUUGUUUAAACAUAUUCACGUGGCUCACAGCUCUCUCGUGGGGCCUUGAGAAAUACAUCAGAUCGAAGCAACAGCCCGU